rnacentral:rRNA from 1 species
AGAACGAACGCUGGCGGCGUGCCUAACACAUGCAAGUCGAGCGCGAAUGGAGCAAUCCUAGUAGAGCGGCGCACGGGUGCGUAACACGUGGGUAAUCUGCCUAGAAGCCUGGGAUAACCAGUCGAAAGAUUGGCUAAUACCAGAUAAGCUCCCGGGGACUUCGGUCCUUGAGAGAAAAGGUGGCCUCUGUAUACAAGCUAUCACUUCUAGAUGAGCCCGCGGCCCAUCAGCUAGUUGGCGGGGUAAUGGCCCACCAAGGCAACGACGGGUAGCUGGUCUGAGAGGACGAUCAGCCACACUGGAACUGAGACACGGUCCAGACUCCUACGGGAGGCAGCAGUGGGGAAUUUUGCGCAAUGGGCGAAAGCCUGACGCAGCAACGCCGCGUGUGUGAUGAAGGUCUUCGGAUUGUAAAGCACUUUCGACCGGGACGAAAACCCUGAAGUUAACACCUUCAGGCUUGACGGUACCGGGAGAAGAAGCACCGGCUAACUCUGUGCCAGCAGCCGCGGUAA